rnacentral:lncRNA from 1 species
UGGGGACCAGGCUUCCAGAUGUUACCGCUGCCUUUUGAUGUUAAGGGGGCUCCGGACAACGAAGAGCCGCAAGCAUGAGCCCCCUUCUCCACAGGCCAGACGCGCGUCAGUCACCACCACCUAAGACGCAGGGAAGAAUCUGGAAGAAGCAGAAAUGUUUUCCAAAGAAAACGCACGUCGUGAGCUCCUCUGAGAGUGUGAGCUUCAGGAUUCCACCGUUACGCAUCAGGAUGAAGGAUGAAUAGGUGGACUGUCUGCCUUGACGACGGCGAGCAGAUUCCUGGCGGCCAGCACCGAACACAGCAACCCCCGCGGGCCCCGGGGAGCCGCGGCUUCUACUCAGAGAUCCGACCACUUGCUGUCAUUUGUCACCCUGUUGACUGCAGCAGUAAGGACUCACUCACGCUGCUAUCAUGGUGCCAGGACCACGCCAGGGACUUUCCGAGGAGCUUUGUCCCGUCACAUGAGAAGGCAUUUGCUGUCAGGCUUGGAGCAUUUUCCUCCUUCCCCCAUGACCCCACGCCCUCAGAAGCCAACUCUGGCCAAGUUACUUGGCCUGUGAGAAGCCUGGAGACCCUCUUCAAUCCAAAGGACAUUAGAAAUGGCAUUUUCUGACCCUCCCUGGACCGGGCUCAAGGGAGUGACGUCUUUGCUUCCCGGUCCCCUCGAUGAGCUCCUUGGAGAUGCUAGUCCCGGUGAGUCACGCCUGCUCAGCACUGUCGGGGCUGCCUCCUGGGGGGGCUCCUCCUGCCUAAGCAGGGGGCCAGCCUUGGCAGCCCCUCCACCCCACCUCACACCACCCGAGGGGCAGGGAGGGGGCUGGGAAGGGACAGGACCCUGCCUCUCCUGGCACCAAGUACUUCUCUCAUCCCUGGAAGCGCUUUCCUGCUGAACUUCAGAACGCAGUUAUUUUGAAGUCAAGCCAGGAAAAGCUCUGGAAACAGUGAUGGGAGCUUGUGCUGGAAGCCGAGGACACAAGCCCCAUGCUGACUCUCCAGGCCUUAUUUAUUUCAUGAUCUGGACUAAUUUCUCAGCUGUAAUCGACACCACCCACCACCUAUGAACUUCCCAGAAACGUCCGGCAAGGGAGGGGCGGGACGAGCAGGAAUGCCCGUGGCCGCCAGGCUCCAGGUCCAAUCUGUCACGGCCGGCUCCAUAAUUCAUGUAGACGGCCUCCUCAAAUAAGCGGAACUAUUGGCAGCGAACGGUCGGAGCAAACGUCCCAGUUUUAUUACAGGACGGAGUCUGUUACACGAUCGGGUUGCAGAGUGAGUUGACGUGUGAAGACCCAGCUAGCCUUUACAUUUCGAUAUUUUGCUCAUCCUGGAUUUCUUUGGUAUUAAUUUUGAUCUUUGAAAAAAAAGUAUUGUACUAGGAAACUUAAAUGCGUAUUAGUAAAUGAGAGAAGCCAAUCUGAAAAGGCUUGUGCUGUGAUUCCAACUCAAUGACAUCCCAGAAAAGGCAAAACCAUAGACACAGUGAUGAGAUCAGGGGCUCCCAGGAUUGG